CUCCGCGAAGCGCCUCCGCCGCGCACCUGGGCCGAGGCCCCGCCCUGGGAGCUGGGCGGGCACUGCGGCCGGCCUCCGGCCCUCCGUCCGCAGACUGCGAGAGCAGCACUCGGCCUAGUCCGGGAAGUCUGCAGAGGAAGACAGAGGCCUCUGCUCUGGGGCGGGUGGAAGAGGAGACUGGGCUGUGCAGUCCUGAAACAUCCCAGAUCAGCAGAGUUGGCCACAAUGGGCCAUGAUCACCGCAUCCCAUGGGGUUUCUGCAAGAGGCAACAUCAUUGGGUGGCAAGAGUCAGAGGUUGGAUUAUUCUGGGUUCCUGCUCCCCUUAAUACCAACUUAAUAACAACAAUAGCACCAAUAAACAAGUGACUUUUAGGGAACAUCUCCACGA